rnacentral:lncRNA from 1 species
AGUUUCUAUUGCAGUUGCAAUUGUUAUUCCAUGGUGUGUGACACUGUAUUAUAUGUUGUCUGUAAUUUAAUGAUUUUCAUUUUUUUUUUUUUUUUUCAGCUAUAGCCUCAACAUUCAAAAAUGACAAAAAUGGUCCAUGAGAACUUUCUGAUUAACAUGCAAGAACAAUUGGCAAGCAUGUCAUCACCUGCCUUGAGUUGUGAGUCCUAAAAAUGCAGCUCUGUGUAAGAAUGUCUAUUUCAGUGGAGGAAGAGCCUUCUUGUGAGAUGAUUUUGCAGCUCCUCAAAAUCAAAUGGGUGACGAGCUUCUGACAAGGAUGCCAACAAAUGCAGAGAGCUGCCACUGCUACAAAGCAGUCAAGAGCCAGGCUUCUCUAACUAGCUUGUUCUCUUCUGCUUCAUCUCAUGACACUGCCAGUAAUUGUAGCAGCACUUUUUCAGUGAUAGUGGAAUGGGGGGCAGAGAUCUGA